rnacentral:rRNA from 1 species
GAUGAACGCUAGCGGCAGGCUUAAUACAUGCAAGUCGAGGGGCAGCAGGGAUAGCAAUAUUCGCUGGCGACCGGUGCACGGGUGCGUAACACGUAUACAAUCUGCCUUUUACAGGGGGAUAGCCUUUCGAAAGAGAGAUUAAUACCCCAUAAUAGUUGACCGGGCAUCUGGUUGAUUUGAAAGCUCCGGCGGUAAGAGAUGAGUAUGCGCCUGAUUAGCUAGUAGGUGAGGUAACGGCUCACCUAGGCUACGAUCAGUAGGGGAUCUGAGAGGACUAACCCCCACACGGAUACUGAGACACGGAUCCGACUCCUACGGGAGGCAGCAGUAAGGAAUAUUGGACAAUGCCCGCAAGGGUGAUCCAGCCAUGCCGCGUGCAGGAAGAAGGCCCUAUGGGUCGUAAACUGCUUUUACACCGGAGAAAACCUCCCCUCGUGAGGGGAGCUGAUAGUAUGGUGAGAAUAAGCAUCGGCUAACUUCGUGCCAG